UAUCUGUGAUGACUACUUAGGACACCUUUGGAACUCUGAUGAAAAUAUAACAAAUGGACUGAGAUGC